AUGGCGUACUUGUAAUCCAAAAAUAAAAAGUCCACCUACUAAUAUUGAUACUACUAUCGAUGGCCCAAAAAUUUGUAAAUCAUUACUUAAACCAUGUAUGAUUGACGACGACUGUUGUUCUAAAAACUGUGUCGAGUUUUCAUUAGGUGCUUCUUGGGCUCAAUUAUGUAUUGGAGUAAAAUCGGUAAUCAUUGACGAUCUUGAAAGCACUACUAUCAUGACGACACAGAAAAAAAAUAAUAUUGGAUGCACCCCAAACGGAAGUAAUUGUUUUGCCCACUAUGAUUGCUGUUCUAAGAGAUGUUAUAAUUAUCCAGGCACAACUUAUCGAAGAUGUUUUUAAGC